UGAUUGUGGCGGCGAAUAUGUUGGGGCUGAGUGAAGGGCUGGUGUUUGCGGAGCGGGCAGGGUUGGAUAAGCAGCAAUGGAUGGAUGCGGUGAGGGGCGGGGCUGCAGGGUCGAAGGCGAUGGAGUUGUUCGGGGGAAGGAUGAUUGAGAGGGACUUUAGACCAGGCGGUUAUGCGGAGUAUAUGGUGAAGGACUUGGGGAUGGGUGUGGAUAUCGUGGAGGAGGAUGAUGAGAGGGUGGCAGUGUUGCCAGGGGCUGCCUUGAACAAGCAAUUGUUUGAGGUGAUGGUGGCUAAUGGAGACGGAAAGCUUGGUGCUCAAGGGUUUAUCUCUGUUAUAGAGAAGAUGAAUGGCAGGUGAGAUGAAAUUUUAUUUGCAUCUCUAGCAUACAGCCUUGCAAUAGUGAUUUGAUUAUUGGUUUUGUGCUGAGGGUAGUGCUAAUGAGUGGUUAAGAUGGGGCUUGGAGGAUGUUAAUUUAUUAGCUACAAAUUAUUUGGGUAGAUUCUGUUAGGUUGAUGCAAUUGAGAAGUUCU
rnacentral:lncRNA from 1 species